UACAUACAUAUAUAUAUACACACACACACAUAUAUAUAUAUAUGUGUGUGUGUGUGUGUGUGUGUGUGUGUGUAUU